GAAUCAUUUGGUUGCAAUGAGGACAAAAGGAACUCAGUGCUAGGACUGUAGGAUAUGUGAGUAUUUCGUGUGUGUGUGUGUGUGUGUGUAUGUGUGUGUG